GGGGGUUUAGCUCAGUGGUAGAGCGCUUGCCUACCGAGCGCAAGGCCCUGGGUUCGGUCCCCAGCUCCG
rfam:Rattus norvegicus chromosome 1, whole genome shotgun sequence.